CCCAAUCCUCUUAAAAGCGCCAACUCGAAAGGAAGCGGGAGGAGCGAAGACUUGGCGUGCGAGAUGAGUGUCCGACUUUCAAGGUGCAGUGCAAAUAAAUCUUUAGCAAUCAGUUACUAUGGAAAAUUCAAACGUUUUCUUCAGAUUCCAUGGCAUAAGCAACGAAUAGCAAGCACCAGACCAUCGAUGAACAAUAUCACUAGUUAGAGUCUUCUAUUGUUCGUGAAAUUGAGAGAAAUUGCAAUAGAAUCUAAAUAAGUAUGCUACCAGAAUCCCCCAUUCUGAUUGUGAAAUUUCUUUCUUUUCUGUAAGUUCUUACUUUCUAGCCUUUGAAAUUUUUUAUUUUUCUGUGAUAUUCUAUUUUUUAUGAAUGUUUUCCGAUCUUCAGAAUUUUAUGUUGUUUUAUUGUGUAGAAUUGAGAAUCCAAGUUUAUGACCUUCUUAUUGUGAAUCUUAAUAUUAUGCCAGCGGCCGUGUUGGGGGUUUUUGAAUUUCUUAGAGGUAAUUCUCUUAGGGUUCAAAGUAUGUUCAUGACCUUUUUAUUUUGUUGUUCUGAAUUAUUAGUUGUUAGGUUGUUUAGUUUUCGGGGCAAACUUUUUUUUUCAUAUGUAGGACUUCUAGCCUUCAAUUGUAUUAUUUUUCUAUUUAAUUAAAAUUUACGAAGGUGUCGUUCUCUAAAAAAAAUUAUAAGGGCCCGGACUUUUUAUUUUGCCCCGGGCCCCAAAUUGUCUAGGAUCGGCCCUAAUUACAAACAACAAAUAUUGAAGAAAUAUGAACUUAGAUAUGGAGAUAAGAGAGAAAAAGGAUUAAAGAAAGGCCGGAGAGAUUUUAUUGAUCAUCAAAAGAAAAAUGUACAAGUUGGAGCUUGCUCAUUUGGCUAAUGUGGAAGUUUCUAAUCUAACAACUAACUAAAAAUAUACAAGUUGGGACUAACUCACUUGACAUAUGAGAUAUUUAAAUUAUUUGUUGUUUAAAAAAAAUCAAAAGAAAAACAUUGUCUAUGUAUCUAAAUUUAUACAUAGAAAUAUUACGCGCUAGCCUCUAUAUCUUACAUAAUAUUCGUAAUUAACCCUAAUCUAUCUAAUACUUAUUUCUUCAACCUUUUUAGUAGGAGUAUUACUUAUCAUAAACCUCCAACAAAUCAAUAAAACAAAAAAUAUGAC